UGGGGAAUAUUGCACAAUGGGCGCAAGCCUGAUGCAGCCAUGCCGCGUGUAUGAAGAAGGCCUUCGGGUUGUAAAGUACUUUCAGUCGGGAGGAAGGUGUCAAGGUUAAUAACCUUGGCAAUUGACGUUACCGACAGAAGAAGCACCGGCUAACUCCGUGCCAGCAGCCGCGGUAAUACGGAGGGUGCAAGCGUUAAUCGGAAUUACUGGGCGUAAAGCGCACGCAGGCGGUUGAUUGAGUCAGAUGUGAAAUCCCCGGGCUUAACCCGGGAAUUGCAUCUGAUACUGGUCAGCUAGAGUCUUGUAGAGGGGGGUAGAAUUCCAGGUGUAGCGGUGAAAUGCGUAGGGAUCUGGAGGAAUACCGGUGGCGAAGGCGGCCCCCUGGACGAAGACUGACGCUCAGGUGCGAAAGCGUGGGGAGCAAACAGG
rnacentral:rRNA from 1 species